UACGUAGGGUGCAAGCGUUAAUCGGAAUUACUGGGCGUAAAGCGUGCGCAGGCGGUUGUGCAAGACAGAUGUGAAAUCCCCGGGCUUAACCUGGGAACUGCAUUUGUGACUGCACGGCUAGAGUGUGUCAGAGGGGGGUAGAAUUCCACGUGUAGCAGUGAAAUGCGUAGAGAUGUGGAGGAAUACCGAUGGCGAAGGCAGCCUCCUGGGCCAACACUGACGCUCAUGCACGAAAGCGUGGGGAGCAAACAGG
rnacentral:rRNA from 1 species